rnacentral:lncRNA from 1 species
UUCGUAGACUUUUAAACAAGCACUGGCGCCUUUUUCUCCGAUUGUUUGUAAAAUAAAAAAUAAAAAAAUAACUCCAGCUUAUUCUUUUCAUUGUGUAUAGGCUAUUUAAAUUUUGGUAUCCAACAUAAUCUUCGUUACCAAGAUGUAAUUAUGAGCUAAGAUCGAUUGAUGAGUUGUUGGCCUCCUCUAAAGAUGCCAAUGACCCGAUUCGAUCGCCUUCGGCCAAAAUCGAACAAAUUUUCAAAAUUAUUUUUCUCCGAUGCGACUAUGAGCCAAACUACUAACCACGCCAACUUUCAAAGUUGUAAAUCUUCCACUUUAUACAGGUUAUUUUCGCUAAUUAAAACAAUUAUCUUUCACAUAUUUUUUAACUGACAGAGUAACACAAAAAAAAAGUUGC